AGGGAUAUGAUGUCAACGGUAGCAUAACGGUCUCCAAAACCGCUCGUUCGGGUUCGAAUCCUGAAUAUCCCUGCCA
rnacentral:tRNA from 2 species